CGUGUAGGCGGCUGAUUAAGUCAGAUGUGAAAGCCCUGGGCUCAACCCAGGAAGUGCAUUUGAAACUGGUCAGCUAGAGUACGGGAGAGGAAGGUGGAAUUCCUGGUGUAGAGGUGAAAUUCAUAGAUAUCGGGAAGAACACCGGUGGCGAAGGCGGCCUUCUGGCCCGAUACUGACGCUGAGACGCGAAAGCGUGGGGAGCAAACA
rnacentral:rRNA from 1 species